UUUUGAUGCAGCUUCUUUCCAGGCAAAGCAACUAAAAUGAUUUCAAAGAUAAUCAAAGGACUUUAUAGAGGCGUCGUUCCGUCUUGGGGCAAGGUGCCAGUGAAACUGAAGAAGCAGAUGUUUCUAGAAUUUAGGACAAAGUGUUCUUGGAAGCCGGAACAUCAUGAUUUAGUAGCGCAAAAUUUUGAGAAAAAAGCAGCGAAAAUACUUAAGGAUGCGUUACUUAGAGUACGUGCUAGUUGCCUGCAGCCUGACUGGAUCCAAGAUGAAUAGUGGAAGGACCUACUGCACUACUGGGCGACUGAUCCGGUGUUUUUGAAACGAAGUGCAAAUGGGAACGCCGCCAGAGCCUCAGGGAAGGGUGGAUCGCUACACACGAGUGGGGUCACGAGCCAAGUGGACUUGAUGAAGCGGCUGGAGCUACAGAGGGGUCAGGCAGUACCUCAAGAUGAGAUCUUCAAGAUUACUCACACGAGGAAGGAGAAGAACGCCGAUAGUACAGACCGAUGGGUUGAGCCCAGGGUUGAGCGAACUUGGGUAAGUCAUUAGUUAACAAUAAUAUUCUAUCUUUUGUACUAAAUUAGACUACUAACAUUGUAUCCUUCAAUUUCAGAAUGAAUUUCAAUAACACUUUGGGGAGUUUCGAGCCACUUAGCCAAGUCGCACGCCGAUGACCGAAGAGGUAAUACAACAACAGUGGAUUGAGAAGGUUGCUCCCCCAACAAGGCAUGGGACAGUUUAUGGAAUGCCUAAUCGAGCCUUUCGUCGAUACCCG